rnacentral:rRNA from 1 species
GACAUCCAGAGAACUUAGCAGAGAUGCUUUGGUGCCUUCGGGAACUCUGAGACAGGUGCUGCAUGGCUGUCGUCAGCUCGUGUUGUGAAAUGUUGGGUUAAGUCCCGNAACGAGCGCAACCCUUAUCCUUUGUUGCCAGCGGUUCGGCCGGGAACUCAAAGGAGACUGCCGGUGAUAAACCGGAGGAAGGUGGGGAUGACGUCAAGUCAUCAUGGCCCUUACGGCCAGGGCUACACACGUGCUACAAUGGCGCAUACAAAGAGAAGCGACCUCGCGAGAGCAAGCGGACCUCAUAAAGUGCGUCGUAGUCCGGAUUGGAGUCUGCAACUCGACUCCAUGAAGUCGGAAUCGCUAGUAAUCGUAGAUCAGAAUGCUACGGUGAAUACGUUCCCGGGCCUUGUACACACCGCCCGCCACACCAUGGGAGUGGGUUGCAAAAGAAGUAGGUAGCUUAACCUUCGGGAGGGCGCUUACCACUUUGUGAUUCAUGACUGGGGUGAAGUCGUAACAAGGUAGGCGUAGCGAG